AGCGGCGGACGGGUGAGUAACGCGUGGGUAACCUGCCCUGUACACACGGAUAACAUACCGAAAGGUAUGCUAAUACGAGAUAAUAUGCUUUUAUCGCAUGGUAGAAGUAUCAAAGCUCUUGCGGUACAGGAUGGACCCGCGUCUGAUUAGCUAGUUGGUAAGGUAACGGCUUACCAAGGCGACGAUCAGUAGCCGACCUGAGAGGGUGAUCGGCCACAUUGGAACUGAGACACGGUCCAAACUCCUACGGGAGGCAGCAGUGGGGAAUAUCGCACAAUGGGCGAAAGCCUGAUGCAGCAACGCCGCGUGAGCGAUGAAGGCCUUCGGGUCGUAAAGCUCUGUCCUCAAGGAAGAUAAUGACGGUACUUGAGGAGGAAGCCCCGGCUAACUACGUGCCAGCAGCCGCGGUAAUACGUAGGGGGCUAGCGUUAUCCGGAAUUACUGGGCGUAAAGGGUGCGUAGGUGGUUUCUUAAGUCAGAGGUGAAAGGCUACGGCUCAACCGUAGUAAGCCUUUGAAACUGGGAAACUUGAGUGCAGGAGAGGAGAGUGGAAUUCCUAGUGUAGCGGUGAAAUGCGUAGAUAUUAGGAGGAACACCAGUUGCGAAGGCGGCUCUCUGGACUGUAACUGACACUGAGGCACGAAAGCGUGGGGAGCAAACAGGAUUAGAUACCCUGGUAGUCCACGCCGUAAACGAUGAGUACUAGCUGU
rnacentral:rRNA from 1 species